AAAUGUGUUGUCUAGUUGUCUGAACUAAAAUGCAUUGGAUGCCUUAUCACGUGGUUAUUUGUACACCAUCUUCCAAUUCAGUUACGAAAUCAAUCUCACAUAGCCUUGUAAACCUUACUUUUCUCUUUCUUUAUCCUCUUCUUACAGAAAAAACAUUAACCUCAAAAAUAGAUAAUCUCGUAGAAAUCUCCCACAUCCCUAAAAAUGCUCAAGUAGAAAAACUUGUUCUUUCACUCUUAAAACCUUAUAAUAUCUACAGAAAAUCUGGAACUCUCACCCAAAGUAUUCAGUCUCUUAUUUCCUCAAGAA
rnacentral:misc_RNA from 1 species